GGUGCUUGCACCGGGUGGAUUAGUGGCGAACGGGUGAGUAUCACGUGAGUAACCUGCCCUUGACUCUGGGAUAAGCCUGGGAAACUGGGUCUAAUACCGGAUACGACCAGUCACCGCAUGGUGUGCUGGUGGAAAGCUUUAGCGGUUUUGGAUGGACUCGCGGCCUAUCAGCUAGACGGUGAGGUAAUGGCUCACCGUGGCGAUGACGGGUAGCCGGCCUGAGAGGGUGACCGGCCACACUGGGACUGAGACACGGCCCAGACUCCUACGGGAGGCAGCAGUGGGGAAUAUUGCACAAUGGGCGAAAGCCUGAUGCAGCGACGCCGCGUGUGGGAUGACGGCCUUCGGGUUGUAAACCACUUUCAGCAGGGAAGAAGCUUUUUGUGACGGUACCUGCAGAAGAAGCGCCGGCUAACUACGUGCCAGCAGCCGCGGUAAUACGUAGGGCGCGAGCGUUAUCCGGAAUUAUUGGGCGUAAAGAGCUCGUAGGCGGUUUGUCGCGUCUGCUGUGAAAGCCCGGGGCUUAACCCCGGGUGUGCAGUGGGUACGGGCAGGCUAGAGUGCAGUAGGGGAGACUGGAAUUCCUGGUGUAGCGGUGAAAUGCGCAGAUAUCAGGAGGAACACCGAUGGCGAAGGCAGGUCUCUGGGCUGUUACUGACGCUGAGGAGCGAAAGCAUGGGGAGCGAACAGGAUUAGAUACCCUGGUAGUCCAUGCCGUAAACGUUGGGCA
rnacentral:rRNA from 1 species